AGUCCCGGGGUGUUAGCACGUAAGAUUGCAAAUCUUAAGAAGCAGGUUUACCCCUGCCGGGGCUU
rnacentral:tRNA from 1 species